UGAACGACUCUCGGCAACGGAUAUCUCGGCUCUUGCAUCGAUGAAGAACGUAGCGAAAUGCGAUACUUGGUGUGAAUUGCAGAAUCCCGUGAACCAUCGAGUCUUUGAACGCAAGUUGCGCCCUAGGCCUUCUGGUCGAGGGCACGUCUGCCUGGGCGUCACGC
rnacentral:rRNA from 28 species